rnacentral:rRNA from 1 species
GGGGGGGGGGGGGGGGGGGGGGGGGGGGGGGGGGGGGAGGGGGGGCUGCGGGGGGAGUGGGGGGCGGGUGGGUAGCGGGUGGGAGUCUGGCUUUGGGUUCGGGGCAACGCCUGGGAGCGGUGGCGGAUACCGGGUGUUCCGGGGGGUAGAAUAGAAAUUGCCUGAAGAUGAGCUCGCGUCUGAUUAUCUAGUUGGUGAGGUAAAGGCUCACCAAGGCAGCGAUCAGUAGCUGGACUGAGAGGAUGACCAGCCACACUGGGACUGAGACACGGACCAGACUCCUACGGGAGGCAGCAGUGGGGAAUUGUCCGUAAUGGGCGAAAGCCUGACGGAGCAAUACCGCGUGAGGGAAGAAGGCUCUUGGGUUGUAAACCUCUUUUCUUAGGGAAGAACAAAAUGACGGUACCUAAGGAAUGAGCAUCGGCUAACUCCGUG